rnacentral:rRNA from 1 species
UACAGAGGGGGGCAAGCGUUGUUCGGAAUUACUGGGCGUAAAGGGCGCGUAGGCGGCCUUCUAAGUCGAACGUGAAAUCCCCGGGCUCAACCCGGGAACUGCGUCCGAUACUGGAAGGCUUGAAUCCGGGAGAGGGAUGCGGGAAUUCCAGGUGUAGCGGUGAAAUGCGUAGAUAUCUGGAGGAACACCGGUGGCGAAGGCGGCGAUCCUGGACCGGUAUUGACGCGUGACGGCGCGAAAGCCAGGGGAGCAAAGCGGGAUUAAGCAAACCCGGAGUACGUCCGA